UUCUAAUUCUUUUUCUUUUAUUCUUUUUCUGAUUUCUUUUUCGUUUUUCAUCUCCUUGCGUUUUCUUCUCUCCCGAGUUUCCCCGACGCCAUGCCCUAACUGCUCUUCCUCAAACCGACGCCGUCGCCGCCAAGGUCCCUCCUCAUCCCCGAGUACAAGCCCCGAUCCUCUUCUCUUCUCCCUCGUGCGCACGCCCGCACCCUCUGCUGCCAGCGACGAGAGCCGAUUCCUCUCAUCUGGCCGAUGCGACGCCGCGCGCCCCUCUUCUUCCCUGCCGACGCUGUGAUUUUCCCGACGCCACUCCUCUUCCUCUCCUCUCUGCACCGAGCCACCGGCCAUCUUCUCUUCAGCCUUUCUUCUUCGCUGAGCACUGCACCGCCGACGCAGAUCUUGUUUUCUUCCACGGCUGUCCACCGAAUUUAGGAGAGGAGACCUAGUUCAGAUUUGUCUCCACCGGAUCGCCAGCGACGCCAUAUCCUCACAGCGACGCCCCAUCCUCACUGCCGGCCUCCCCUGUGCUCUAGCGCCGGCACUGAUUUCCUUCUUCUGGUGCGAUUUGGGAGCACAACAGUCGUGCCCUAGCGCCUGUGCCGUAGCCGCUUAGCACCGCCCGACACCUCCUGGCACAGCCGAGCCCUCUCCCGAUCUCCCAUACUUUGUGCCCUAGCAGUGGUUGAAGUGGAGGAUGUUUCGGUCGCGAGGCAACUGUAGAGUCCUCAGAUUUGGGAGGGACAGUGAUUUCAUCUACGCUGGCAGAGAGUUAUACCAGCUAUACCUCAUUGGUGGAGCCAUCAAUUCUGGAUUUGAGUUGGAUGCGAUCUCUUGGACUUAUUGAGGACGGUUGAUACGACAUGCGUAUGA